UUUGUAUUGCAGAUCCAACAAGCAACAUUAUUAGAAAUAGGCGAAAGACAAGCAACAGAUAAUACUUUAACAUUUGAUACAGACAAAAAGAUGUGUGUCAGUACGUUUUGUACGGACUAUGAAAUCGGAUUUGUCAAAGUUGAAUUGAAGAACCAAGCGCUAGCGGCCAGUCAUAGAUAUCAGAUAGCUGAAGUAUUGCUUGGAUAUUACGUCAAUGUAGCAAUGAUAAGUCAGUUUGGAAAAGAUUGGCCAAAGAUGAAAUGCAAACAAUGGUACAAAAAUGAAAAGAUAAAUGUUGCAUGGGUAAACGGAUUAUUGCCAUGUCCUUGUACUCUUACACAAGCUUUUGGUGAUAUAGGGCGCUGGAAAGCUGAUGAUGGAUGAGAUAUUGAUAGCGGAAGUAGCUGUACUUAUCACAAGGGAGCUGUGCAUUGUGUUAGAACUAUAGAACCAACAAUUGACGGUGCAGGUAACCAGUGUUGCUAUGAUAAAGAUGGUAAUUUGAUGUUUAGUGGUGACUCUUAU